rnacentral:rRNA from 1 species
CCUACGGGGGGCAGCAGUGGGGAAUAUUGGACAAUGGGGGCAACCCUGAUCCAGCCAUGCCGCGUGUGUGAAGAAGGCCCUCGGGUUGUAAAGCACUUUCAGUGAGGAAGAACGCCUGGUGGUUAAUACCCAUCAGGAAAGACAUCACUCACAGAAGAAGCACCGGCUAACUCCGUGCCAGCAGCCGCGGUAAUACGGAGGGUGCGAGCGUUAAUCGGAAUUACUGGGCGUAAAGCGCGCGUAGGUGGCUUGAUAAGCCGGUUGUGAAAGCCCCGGGCUCAACCUGGGAACGGCAUCCGGAACUGUCAAGCUAGAGUGCAGGAGAGGAAGGUAGAAUUCCCGGUGUAGCGGUGAAAUGCGUAGAGAUCGGGAGGAAUACCAGUGGCGAAGGCGGCCUUCUGGACUGACACUGCCCCUGAGGUGCGAAAGCGUGGGUAGCAAACAGGAUUAGAUACCCGGGUAGUC